CCCAGCACUCAGUCAGCUGACAGGCUGUGUGUCUGCCUCGGUGUUACAGUGCUGGCAGAGAAAGGCUCUGUGCUGCUCUCAGUGUGCAGACUCUGUUUUAGAGGCUGUUGCUGCUGAGCGGCUGCAGAGCCGGGCCCCACGAGAGUGGCCUGUCCUGCACCCACGCAGGGCCGGCCUAGUGCGGGGCCGCACACC